rnacentral:rRNA from 1 species
CACGUAGGGCGCAAGCGUUGUCCGGAAUUAUUGGGCGUAAAGAGCUCGUAGGCGGUUUGUCACGUCUGCUGUGAAAUCCCGAGGCUCAACCUCGGGCCUGCAGUGGGUACGGGCAGACUGGAGUGCGGUAGGGGAGAAUGGAAUUCCUGGUGUAGCGGUGAAAUGCGCAGAUAUCAGGAAGAACACCUAUGGCGAAGGCAGCUCUCUGGGACGGUACUGACGCUGAGACGCGAAAGCGUGGGGAGCGAACAGG